AUGGAAUGAAUAGGGUUAAAGAGGCUGAGCUUAUCUCCGUUUUACAGAGCCAGCUCAAGCGGGCUGAGCUCCGGAAUUAACAGCCUGGAAAACGCGAACAUCAGGACGAUCAUCGAAGGGCAGAGAGAGAGCAUGGCGAUGGGGCGUCCCGGCAAAGCCUCCAGGGAAUUUUCUGGAGACUUCCAUCUUUUGAGCAGCGGAGAGCGACAGCUCCCCUCAGGCAGCCUGGCAUGACUAAAAAGAUGGACUUAAUUGGUGAUAUAAAGAAAAGUCCAGUACGUGAUGAAAACACAGCCUCAUCCCUUUACCGAGAUGUACUAUUUCUGGACUUCUCUGAUUUCUUCACCAGGUCCUUCACCACUGAAAAAAUCAUUCUGCAAGAUAAAUCAGCCUUGGCACUCACAGCCCAAGACUCUUUUGCCUCUGGUGAACCAAGAAACUCCAAAAUCUCCAAUUAAGGAAGGGUUUCAGGACAGAAGUUCAUUCUUCACUUGACUGAACUACUUUGGGAUUUCUCUUACUUUUCUACUUUGUUGUCUAAUUAGAUAUCAUUCACCAUCACCUCCUUUUCACUUUUCUUUUUUUGUGUUGUUGAAUCCCUUCAGAUUGUAAAUUCUUUGAGGUCUGGAAUUGUCCCCUCCCCACCUUCUCCCUUCCUCCCCCCGACAUAUUUGUAUCCCUAGUGUCUUGCACCUAGGGAGCUUUAAAUUUUUUAUUCACUGGAAAAAAUAGAUGAUGGAGUCAGAAUUCAAAUCCAGGUAUUCUUUCUUCCAGUCUAGUGUUCCUCACAAGUAAGAAGGUGCAAGUCACUUUGGGAAUGCCGUCUACAUUGUUGACAACCAUCUUCUUUUUAAAAAUAGUAUUCUGUUUUUCCAAAUACAAGUAAAAAUAGUUUUCAACA